CGGGGUGCAUCAUCGACCGAUCCUGAUGUCUUCGGAUGGAUUUGAGUAAGAGCAUAAAUGUUCGGACCCGAAAGAUGGUGAACUAUGCGUGGAUAGGGUGAAGCCAGAGGAAAUUAUGGUGGAGGCUCGCAGCGGUUCUGACGUGCAAAUCGAUCGUCAAAUCUGCGCAUGGGGGCGAAAGACUAAUCGAACCAUCUAGUAGCUGGUUACCGCCGAAGUUUCCCUCAGGAUAGCAGUGUUGUCUUCAGUUUUAUGAGGUAAAGCGAAUGAUUAGGGACUCGGGGGCGCUUUUUAGCCUUCAUCCAUUCUCAAACUUUAAAUAUGUAAGAAGCUCUUGUUACUUAAUUGAACGUGAGCAUUCGAAUGUACCAACACUAGUGGGCCAUUUUUGGUAAGCAGAACUGGCGAUGCGGGAUGAACCGAACGCGGGGUUAAGGUGCCGGAGUGGACGCUCAUCAGACACCACAAAAGGUGUUAGUACAUCUGACAGCA
rnacentral:rRNA from 1 species